GACGAACGCUGGCGGCGUGCUUAACACAUGCAAGUCGAACGAGUGGCGAACGGGUGAGUAACACGUGGGUGAUCUGCCUUGCACGUCGGGAUAAGCUGGGGAAACUGGGUCCAGUACCGGUCAGGGCAAGAUGAGUGGCCGGCCUAACAGCUGGUUGGUGGGGUAUUGGCUACCAAGCCGCGACGGGUAGCCGGCCUGAGAGGGUGUACGGGCGCAUUGGGACUGAGCGACGGCCCAGACUCCUACGGGAGGCAGCAGUGGGGAGUAUUGCACAAUGGGCGGAAGCCUGAUGCAGCGGCGCCGGGUGGGGGAUGAAGGCCUUCGGGUUGUAAACUCCUUUCGACAGGGACGCGGUACCUGUAUAAGAAGCACCGGCUAACUACGUGCCAGCAGCCGCGGUAAUAC
rnacentral:rRNA from 1 species